GCCGGCCGAGGACCCCUCCCGGGACCGAGCUGCCUACAGCAUACGCCUGAUCAUACGACCUAAAUUGGGGUCACUCUCGCCCACUAUCCCCCCAAUAUUUGCCACAUAUAGCCUUUUGAAGACGUUCUACCAACGUGUGCAGAACUCCAGGGGCUCUGAACUCUUCAAGUCUAAAGUAGUUUUGAUCAGGCGUAUGCCGGGCAGCCCCGAAUCUCGGCUCCUUUGGUCCCCUUAUGCAUAUGCAGCAGAUUGUGAUCUUUAACACGCUGAGAGAGAAGGGGGCGUACCCUCGUCUCCGUAGGUGAGCGUUUGUUCACUGCGACCCUCGUGGAUGACCCGAGUACUCUGGGAAAAACCUUCUCGUGGCUCAAAGUCCGCCUCCUCCCCGGUCCCUUCACCAAGGCCAAAAGCGGAACACCACUGAAGAAUGGGGAGCUGUGGAUACCCAAAAGGAUCAGAUGAACCAUCCAAGGACCAAAUAAAUAUCCAUACUGGGCCCAGGCACAAGGGCUUACAAGGGCAGUGGCUGCGGGUUCCAGUGCCUGUGGGGUCCCAGUGCCUAGGCACCAAGGGAACACAGAAACUUGGAUUAUCCUCAUCGCAUACCCUGCAGAGAUGAUGGAAGGAGCAAAUGAGGUAAGAGUUGUAAACAGACCUCGGGUGGCUUCUGGGGGAGGGGGUUCGGGUCAGGGGUGGGGUUAUUUCCCAGAGAGGAGACAGGAACCACCCUAGGCUGCUCAGCAAUGUCUACACUGUCUUCUCUCCAUGAAGACAAGGCAGGGACAUUGUGUCCUGAAUGAUCUCUUAAAAUGCACCCCGUUAGCUGGUUCAGUAGCACUCCAACCCGCCCUCCACCUGCAGCCUUGGGGAGUUUGGGGGAGAAGGAGGGUGCCGCUGGGGUAGGGGCUCGGAGGGAGGCCGUACAUCACAGCAGCAGCUGAGCCAGAGACAGGAGUGAUUUUUCUUCAUGGUUUGCAGACAAAUGAGGUGGACAGAAAAUAGAUGGCAACCUUCGGCAGCGAGAGGCCUGGGGCCAAGGGAGGCAACUUUGAUUGUCCGGGCAGUGGGGGCAUUCCCAGCCUCCCGUCCCAGGCUGCUGGCCUCUGCAGAGGAUGG
rnacentral:lncRNA from 1 species